UGGCUGUCGUCAGCUCGUGUCGUGAGAUGUUGGUUAGUCCGCACGAGCGCAACCCUCGUCCUAUGUUGCCAGCGGGUCGAUGCCGGGGACGUCAUGGGAGGACUGCCGGGGUCGAACUCGGAGGAAGGUGGGGAGUGACGUCAAAUACAUCAUGCCCCUUACUGUCUUGGGCUUCACGCAUGCUACAAUGGCCGGUACAAAGGGCUGCGAUACCGCGAGGUGGAGCGAAUCCCAGAAAGCCGGUCUCAGUUCGGAUUGGGGUCUGCAACUCGACCCCAUGAAGUCGGAGUCGCUAGUAAUCGCAGAUCAGCAACGCUGCGGUGAAUACGUUCCCGGGCCUU
rnacentral:rRNA from 1 species